CCCCUAGAUGUUCUGGGCCGCACGCGCGCUACACUGAACAGUUCAACAAGUCUUAACCUUGGCCGAUAGGUCUGGGUAAUCUUUGAACGCUGUUCGUGAUUGGGAUAGACCUUUGCAAUUAUGGGUCUUCAACGAGGAUUUCCUAGUAAACGCAAGUCAUCAGCUUGCAUUGAUUACGUCCCUGCCCUUUGUACACACCGCCCGUCGCACCUACCGAUUGAAUGGUCCGGUGAAAUCUCGGGACGGCGGCUUGGUCGCUUGCGUCCGACUGCUGAAACUUGAUUAAACCAUAUCAUUUAGAGGAAGGUGAAGUCGUANCA
rnacentral:rRNA from 1 species